GGGCUCUGAACUCUACCAAACACAAGGGUGUGUUUAUCUGGAAUCCCUUCUCAGACAUUUACAGCCUAGCACAAGCCUGAAGAAGAGGGAUGAGAAGCAUCGGAGAAGUAAUUCUGUGACCACACUGUUUUAAAACUGCAAAUCAAAUGGAUAAAGGGCCCAAAAGUAUGAGUAAAGGCACCAGAGGCUGUUGCCUUCCAACUUUCUAAGCAAGCUUUACCCAAGCCGUGGGAUUGUACACAUUCCCAUGGAAGUCAGAUGUGUGCCAUACAACCAGAGGCGCCAUUGGAACCUACCCUUUAUUCCUGGAUGCCACCUACGGCUGUCCCAGAAGACUCAGGCCCCAGCAGUCUGAUUCCUGACCAAGGUGGAAGUAUGUUUCAGACUGUAUCCAGAUUUUGUGCCUGUGCCUUUGGAUGGGGAAAGAUGCCUCUUAUCUACUCUAAAGAAAAUACUAACGGCAAACAGUUCUCCUACCCUAUAAGUCCCAGGCCUUAUAAGAAACUUUGUGGGGAAAGACUACGUGUUUCUUUUUCAUCACUGAUCCUUUGGAGGUUAUACCUUUGGAGGUGGAUGUGCUCUAUCUUAGGUAUCCAACAAGAAUGUGCUAAUGAAGCAGAAAAGCAAUGGAGACCAACUACAGGAUGCAGUCAUGUGACCCCUACCUUGGAGUGGGAGAGCCGGCAGGCAUGUGGAAGGGACCUCCAGGAGCAAAGUCUGAAGCUGUUCACAGGGUGACCACAGAAGUGGCCAAUCGGGAUAUUGAGCCAAUGGGUUCUUGAAGAAGAACUGAAUUAAAGUUGUUCAGGCCUCCCGUAUCCUGACCCAUGCACCUGACACUGACAGUGCUAGAGGAGAUGGUUGACAACUGUGCUAAGAUUUUCUGUUUGGUUCUUUCCUGGCCACUGGAGAUAAUGGACUCCUCAAUGAGUUGUAUGCUUUUGUCAGAGGCUCCAGAAAAAGGAAACUACUGAUUAAAUAUCUUAGAUAUUAAUGGACAUGGAAAACCCCUCUUAUUCCUCUGAAUCUACUCCAGUGCACAUCUCUGUGUAAAUGGAGUUGUUAAUAGGUCUAAAUAAUAAAAACCCAGAGUCAGAUAUACAGGAAAAUGCUGAGAGAUCAGAAAGAAGAAAGAGCAAGUCAAAGCCACCUUUACCUUAUUAGUUUCCCAGCGGAAAAGAGAGUGAGUUCCUGUUUCUUCCCACUUAUAGCCUCUCUCUGUCCAGACAUCUCACUUCCUGUCUGUCUAUACAGACCUCCAGACCUCUAUGGUUAGCUAGUGGCAAGCUCCAUCUUCUGCUCUUCAGACAAGCUUUAUUUGUACAAGCAAGAUACCGCUACAUUUCUUAGCUGUGUUUCUAGUUUCUAGAAAGAUAGCUUCAGAAUAUAUAUGUUUGAAUUUUUCCAGUUUCGAUGCUAAUUACUGAAAAAACAGAGAACCAACACAUGGGAAAACACUUAAGACUCUAAUCAGCUUUUUCCACGAAUUACAUUUUUAGCCCCAUUAUAAAAUUCUUGGAUUUUGUAUUUAGUGUUAAAUUUCCAGCCUCCUUACUGAGCUUGUACAUGGUGAGCUUGGAAGAAGGGUGUCUUGUGUCAGAAUGUGUGGAACAUAUGCAUGUGCCCAUGUUCCAGUGCAUGGCUGGAGUAAACGGGUGCUUGUGUGGAAGGAGCUCUCAGAUCCCACAAGACUCGGAAGCCUAAUAGAAGGGAAUCUCUGCUGAGUUUUCAGCACAUGCUUUUUGCAGAAUUAAAGGGUACGUGCUAGGAAACCACAGGACCCUACACAAACUAUUCUGGGUCUUCCCAAAGACCUUUAAUUUACUUGUAUUUAAUUUACUUGUAUUUAAAGACACAACAGGGCCUUCAAAUGUUCCACAGCCUUGGAAGACAGUCUGUCACCUGGUUGGGAUCAUCCCACGGGCUGAGUUGACCUCCACCAAGCCUGAGCUGAAUCACACAUUGUGUCCGAGAGUUUGUGUUUGUCUGUUUAUUUUUCCCUUGGCUCUCUCCUGGCUCAGACACAAGAUAAACUUCACUGCCUUUCUGCCUGCUGUGCUUAAUUUUCUGAAGUACCUAAAAUGCUGGGAUCUGUAGCCUUUUUCGUUUGGCUGUGGUUUGGCUUCUCUUGUCCGAUUCAGUGUUCAAGUUUCCUCUGAGUACAGGACUCAGAAAUGUUUCACCCGAGAGUUUGAAUUUCAUGAUUUUAAUUAUUCACAUAGUAUAAAGUUGGCUUUGAAAUCAACCAUAUCAGGCACGACGAUUCACCCAGGAGCCUGAAAUGGAAUAAGAAUGGCAGAGAUGAGGAGACAUCUGGUGCAAAACCAUGCCAGUGAGGUGCCCAUAUGUUUGUGCAGGAGGCUGGGGAGCAUGAAGAAACUUGGGAAGAAAGUGAACUUUUACAACAAAUCCACAAAAAGAUCAACACUACCUCUGAGGUGCCCAACAUAACUCACUAUUCUUAAAGCCCUUUAAGAGGAAAUAAGUUUCCAUGUUGUCUGACAUAUUUUCAGGCAUCGAUUAUUUAGUGGGAAGGUUGUGACGGCAGAGGGCGAUUGGAAAAUGGCUUCCUGAAUACUCAGGGUGACUUAGAAAACUUGUUCCCUGUUUCCCUGUUAUCUCCAUCACUCUCAUCUCUCUGGGUACUCUGAACUUCAUUAAUUACCACUGUGCUCUUAUGAACUGAGACUAAAAAGCCCAGUUCUUUUAUUAUUUUAAGUAGUUUUGCUGCCCACUGUGUAUGAAUCUUUUGUCUAGAGUAGUGUCAUUCUCAUCUCAGGAGUCUAUGAUGACAGGCAUACAGGUUACAUUGGUCCUAAACUCCAGUGUUUUGAAAUGAAGACAUGCCUCCAAUUCAUCAGUGGCCAAAACUUUGCCACUUUAUCUG
ensembl:lincRNA